rnacentral:rRNA from 1 species
GACGUAGGGUGCGAGCGUUGUCCGGAUUUAUUGGGCGUAAAGAGCUCGUAGGCGGCUCGUCGCGUCGACCGUGAAAACCCGCAGCUUAACUGCGGGCCUGCGGUUGAUACGGGCGGGCUAGAGUUCGGUAGGGGAGACUGGAAUUCCUGGUGUAGCGGUGAAAUGCGCAGAUAUCAGGAGGAACACCGGUGGCGAAGGCGGGUCUCUGGGCCGAUACUGACGCUGAGGAGCGAAAGCGUGGGGAGCGAACGGG